rnacentral:rRNA from 1 species
CGGGACGGGUGAGCAACGCGUGGAAAACCUGCCGUAUACUGGGGGAUAACACUUAGAAAUAGGUGCUAAUACCGCAUAAGCGCACAGCUUCGCAUGAAGCGGUGUGAAAAACUCUGGUGGUAUACGAUGGUUCCGCGUCUGAUUAGCUAGUUGGUGGGGUAAUGGCCUACCAAGGCAACGAUCAGUAGCCGGCCUGAGAGGGUGAACGGCCACAUUGGGACUGAGACACGGCCCAAACUCCUACGGAAGGCAGCAG